UCAAUCUUAUUCUGUGAUCUUAUCCAAUCUGUCAAAGUAAAAUAUACCAAAUAAUAAAAAAAAAUAUAAUAUACUAAAAAUUACUUUGGGAGGAAAAUUAAAAUGUAAAAAAUUAUCAAGAUAAUCUGAUAUGAAAUUAUAGAAUUUUCCAAAUUGUACAUAUUUUUGCGUAAGAUAUGUGUAAAUAUUUUGGGAACGAGGUAAUAGAAAUCGUCAGAGAAUAUGUUCGAACGAUAAAGAUAUUCCUGAUACCUGUAGGUUGUUCACAAAUGUCAGAGUUAUUUUAUGGUAUUUCCUACUAAGUCAACAAACCAGGGUAUACGAGUGGAUAACGACAAAUUUGCCAAUGAGAGAGAAGGCUACUGUACCCCCAUUUAAAUUACGUUACUUCAAUGUAUAUAUUGUGUUAAAUGUUGUUGGACCCAAAUCAGUUAAAUUAUUAAGUGCAUUAUCAAACAGUGACUUUAAUGAUGCCCCCUUAUUAUAUAGAACAUUCAAUAUAGGAUACAUAUUAGCUGCCAUGCUUUAUAUAAUUACAAACAAUUCUUAUGUGAAAAAAAGAUUUUUAAGUUUUGUAUAAAACUUUACAUGUACAUGUACUGCCAAAAUAUCAUUUUACUGCCAAUGACUGCGAAGAAAACUGCCUAUGACUGCCUGGUCAAAUAUAAUGGGUCUAGUACUUUAUUAAAUGAACAAAUACAUUAAUUAAAA